rnacentral:rRNA from 1 species
CAAUAGCGUAUAUUAAAGUUGUUGCGGUUAAAAAGCUCGUAGUUGGAUUUCUGCUGAGAACGACCGGUCCGCCCUCUGGGUGUGUAUCUGGCUCUUUCUUGGCAUCUUCUUGGUGAACGUUGCUGCACUUGACUGUGUGGAGCGCUACCCAGGACUUUUACUUUGAGGAAAUUAGAGUGUUUCAAGCAGGCAUACGCCUUGAAUACAUUAGCAUGGAAUAAUAAGAUAGGACCUCGGUUCUAUUUUGUUGGUUUCUAGAGCUGAGGUAAUGAUUAAUAGGGAUAGUUGGGGGCAUUCGUAUUUAACUGUCAGAGGUGAAAUUCUUGGAUCUGUUAAAGACGGACUACUGCGAAAGCAUUUGCCAAGGAUGUUUUCAUUGA